rnacentral:tRNA from 1 species
CGACAUAGCUCAGCUGGUAGAGCAACGCACUCGUAACGCGUGGGUCGGAGGUUCAAGUCCUCUUGUCGGC